rnacentral:siRNA from 1 species
UCUCGAUGUAGACUAAACUGGCGC